GACGAACGCUGGCGGCGUGCUUAACACAUGCAAGUCGAACGGAAAGGCCCUGCUUUUGUGGGGUGCUCGAGUGGCGAACGGGUGAGUAACACGUGAGUAACCUGCCCUUGACUUUGGGAUAACUUCAGGAAACUGGGGCUAAUACCGGAUAGGAGCUCCUGCUGCAUGGUGGGGGUUGGAAAGUUUCGGCGGUUGGGGAUGGACUCGCGGCUUAUCAGCUUGUUGGUGGGGUAGUGGCUUACCAAGGCUUUGACGGGUAGCCGGCCUGUGAGGGUGACCGGCCACAUUGGGACUGAGAUACGGCCCAGACUCCUACGGGAGGCAGCAGUGGGGAAUAUUGCACAAUGGGCGGAAGCCUGAUGCAGCAACGCCGCGUGCGGGAUAACGGCCUUCGGGUUGUAAACCGCUUUCGCCUGUGACGAAGCGUGAGUGACGGUAAUGGGUAAAGAAGCACCGGCUAACUACGUG
rnacentral:rRNA from 1 species